rnacentral:rRNA from 1 species
CCGCCGCAGUAACACAUGCAAGUCGAACGGAAGAAUAGCAAUAUUCUUUAGUGGCAAACGGGUGAGUAACGCGUGAGAAUCUGUCUUUUGGUGGGGGAUAGCCAGUAGAAAUGCUGGGUAAUACCGCAUAUCCUUGCAAAACAAGGAAAGAUUUAUCGCCAAAAGGUGAGCUCGCGUCAGAUUAGGUAGUUGGUAGGGUAAAGGCCUACCAAGCCUUUGAUCUGUAGCUGGUCUGAGAGGACGAUCAGCCACACUGGGACUGAGAUACGGCCCAGACUUCUACGGAAGGCAGCAGUGGGGAAUUUUGGACAAUGGGGGAAACCCUGAUCCAGCUAUGCCACGUGAGGGAAGACGGCCUUUGGGUUGUAAACCUCUUUUACCUGUGACGAUGAUGACGGUAGCAGGAGAAAAAGUCCCGGCUAACUCUGUGCCAGCAGC